GUACUCUCACACUUCCGAUCUUGAAUUGGGAGCGGUGGACUUGGGUUUGCUGCUUUACUGUAGCUUACCUCAAAUGUGUUAGUGCAGCUCUUGGUUGGACAUAGUACGGCGUGAUAAGUAUCUUCGCCGAUGCCUCGCAAAGAGGGUGGCCAAUCGGGAUGUUGUGCUCCAAACCGUCUUCGGACAAUCUCUGACA
rnacentral:misc_RNA from 1 species